rnacentral:tRNA from 1 species
GUGUGCGUAAUUUAAAUAAAAUAUCAAGUCGUGACCUUGAACAUAGAUAUGUCUCUCGCACACC